rnacentral:rRNA from 1 species
ACUCCUACGGGAGGCAGCAGUGGGGAAUAUUGCACAAUGGGCGCAAGCCUGAUGCAGCCAUGCCGCGUGUAUGAAGAAGGCCUUCGGGUUGUAAAGUACUUUCAGCAGUGAGGAAGGUGGUAUGUUAAUAGUACAUACUCAUUUGACUGUUAGCUUGCAGAGAAGACACCGCGUAACUCCGUGCCAGCAGCCGCGGUAAUACGGAGGGUGCGAGCGUUAAUCGGAAUUACUGGGCGUAAAGCGCAUGCAGGUGGUUUGUUAAGUCAGAUGUGAAAGCCCGGGGCUCAACCUCGGAAUUGCAUUUGAAACUGGC